rnacentral:rRNA from 1 species
AGCAGCCGCGGUAAUUCCAGCUCCAAUAGCGUAUAUUAAAGUUGUUGCAGUUAAAAAGCUCGUAGUUGAAUUUCGGGGCCAGUAGGUUGGUCGUGCCACUGGUAUGCACUGGUCUCACUGGUCCCUCCUUCUUGUAGAACCGUGAUGGCAUUAAUUUGUUGUUGCGGGGAAACAGGACUGUUACUUUGAAAAAAUUAGAGUGCUUAAAGCAGGCUCGCGCUUGAAUACAUUAGCAUGGAAUAACGGAAUAGGACGAUCGAACUUAUUUUGUUGGUUUCUAGGAUCGACGUAAUGAUUAAUAGGGAUAGUUGGGGGCAUUAGUAUUCAAUUGUCAGAGGUGAAAUUCUUGGAUUUAUUGAAGACUAACUACUGCGAAAGCAUUUGCCAAGGAUGUUUUCAUUAAUCAAGAACGAAAGUUAGGGGAUCGAAGACGAUCAGAUACCGUCGUAGUCUUAACCAUAAACUAUGCCGACUAGGGAUCGGAUGAAGUUAAUUUUUUAAAUGACUCAUU